rnacentral:tRNA from 1 species
UGCGGGGUAGCGCAGCGGUAGAGCAUCGGCCUCAUAACCUGAAGGCCGCAGGUUCAAAUCCUGCCCCCGCAACCA